AGUUUGAUCCUGGCUCAGGAUGAACGCUAGCGGGAGGCUUAACACAUGCAAGUCGAGGGGCAGCACGUCUUCGGAUGGUGGCGACCGGCGAACGGGUGCGUAACGCGUAUGCAACCUACCCUUAACAGGAGAAUAGCCCAGAGAAAUUUGGAUUAAUACUCCAUAGUAUUACAGAUUCGCAUGUUUCUGUAAUUAAAGUUCCAACGGUUAAGGAUGGGCAUGCGUGACAUUAGCUUGUUGGUGAGGUAACGGCUCACCAAGGCAACGAUGUCUAGGGGUUCUGAGAGGAUGAUCCCCCACACUGGUACUGAGACACGGACCAGACUCCUACGGGAGGCAGCAGUGAGGAAUAUUGGACAAUGGAGGCAACUCUGAUCCAGCCAUCCCGCGUGCAGGAAGACGGCCCUAUGGGUUGUAAACUGCUUUUAUACAGGAAUAAACCCCUCUACGUGUAGAGGGCUGAAGGUACUGUAAGAAUAAGCACCGGCUAACUCCGUG
rnacentral:rRNA from 1 species